GCUUGAAGCACUUUGUGUUUAUUGCUGCUUAAACGCUCGAGCUAAAUGCUCUUACAUAGUAAAGAAUAAAUAUACUCUACUUAUUCCAAGAUCUGAACCUUUAAGAUCUUGGUGUGAAGAUGAAAAACCCAACCUGCAUAAAACAGGGCGGAGUAUUUAAAGUUCUCUUGAAUAUUGUCACUCAAUAACAUUCGUGUUAUCAAUUCCUUUACAGAUUAUUAAUACGAUAAUCUAAAACACACUCCUGGGAAAACCGUUCUUCACUACAAUGUAUAAAUGUUCACGUUCGUAUUUUACGCAUUCGCCUAAAUAGACAAGUUUUUAGACACCUCGAAUUGCAUGCUUGCCGAUGGUUUAAUGUACUUCUUCUUCG